GUCGUUCUCAUUCCCCGUCUCUGGGAGCAUCGUCGUUUUCUGGCGUGCAGAGAUUCAACUUAUCAACUUACACCCCGUCUCCGAAGCAGAGCCGGAAUUCCCACUCCCCGAACAGCACUCUGAGUGACUCCUUACUGGUGCCCGAGACAGAGCCGGUCAUUCCGGAGCUGUGCCUCGAUCACUUGUGGACAGAAAGUGUGCACAACGUGAGGGAAAAAAAUUCUCAAGCCUCAAAAGUAUUUAUUACCAUUGACCUCUGCGGUCAGAAGUUUUUAUGUUACUUGGUGGAGUCUCGCCAUCAGUUACGAUGUGUGAAAUUUGAAGAGAGCAAUGACUUGACUCAGCUGAUUUUCGGAACAGUUACUGUUAUACAAGCAAAAGAUGCUGCUCCUGUGGAG